GAUGAAGAACGCAGCGAAAUGCGAUAAGUAAUGUGAAUUGCAGAAUUCAGUGAAUCAUCGAAUCUUUGAACGCACAUUGCGCCCGCCAGUAUUCUGGCGGGCAUGCCUGUUCGAGCGUCAUUACAACCCUCAAGCCCCCCGGCUUGGUGUUGGGGACCGGCCACCGGUGCCCUGCUGCUUCCGCGGCAGGCGCACCCGGCCGCCCCCGAAAUGAAUUGGCGGCCCCGUCGCGGCCUCACUCUGCGUAGUAGCACACAUCUCGCAGCUGGAGCGCGGCGCGGCCACUGCCGUAAAACGCACCAACUUUUUUUACAGUUGACCUCGAAUCAGGUAGGAAUACCCGCUGAACUUAAGCAUAUCAAUAAGCGGAGGA
rnacentral:misc_RNA from 1 species